UACGGGGGGAGCAAGCGUUGUUCGGAUUUACUGGGCGUAAAGGGCGCGUAGGCGGCCACCGCAAGUCGACUGUGAAAUCUCCGGGCUUAACCCGGAAAGGUCAGCCGAUACUGCGGGGCUAGAGUGCAGAAGGGGCAACUGGAAUUCUCGGUGUAGCGGUGAAAUGCGUAAAUAUCGAGAGGAACACCUGCGGCGAAGGCGGCAUCCUGGACCGGCAUUGACGCUGAGGCGCGAAAGCGUGGGGAGCAAACAGG
rnacentral:rRNA from 1 species